GGCUUCUAGGUGCACACAGUUGGAACUGGAGAUGGUUAAUCAGGAUAUCUCCAACCUAACUGGUUGGUGGCCUGUUGCUAGAUUGCAAGAUGCAUAGAAUUUUUUUUCAAGAUAUUUGCUUUAUUUGGCUUAUUUUGUUUCAACUUUGUGCGAUUCAUGUGUACUGAAAUGAUAUAACUUUACAAUAAAUUGGUUGUGUGCACGUUCAGAGGUCGGGGAGAACCCCUUUUCGAAAGAAAAAAGGAAAAAAAAAACUGAUGCAUCAUGUGACCUCACGGCAAUAACUUUUGCAUCAGAAUCCCCACAAACCUAACGCUGGGAUCAAAUCCACAGGCAAAAAUGGGCAGGACCAAACUAUUAUGAGCAUGGUAAUCUAAGAGAAAUCAUUCAAGGACUGGUCGCUUUGUAAGUCGAUGCUGUUGGGUUGAGGUCAAGCUUCGGUUAUCAUCUCCGAAACGGAGUUUUAAGCCAAC
rnacentral:lncRNA from 1 species